rnacentral:miRNA from 1 species
GAGUUCAGACCAGCACCAGGA